CUGAGUGCUUCCUCAAUAGAGAGAGCCCAACAAUGCUUACCUGCUGUAGAGGUAGCACUAGCGAAUGAAGGGGGAUCACAGCCUGAACAUAUCUCUGCUGAUUCAGGAAAAAUUCUCACAUUUGACACUUCUCAUUUUACAAGCCACAGAAGGCAAACAUGGAAAAAGGAUCAAGAGGGUGAAAUGGUUCCUCUGUGGGAAAAUUCUCCUUCUUAGCCAGGCUGAAGGGAUCGAGCUGUAUUUGUGGUUUAGGUUUUUUUUGUAAGUUCAGCAUUAACACUUCGAGCAUUUGCAGUUAGGCUGCUACUCUCACAGAGAUGCAAAAUCAAAAGUGACUCUCAUCACUGCUCUCAACGAGCCAAUUAUUUGGAGAUUUGAUGACAGCUCCUGUCAAAAGGGAAAACAUGGCUUAGAAGGAAGCCUUAACCAGUCUCUUCAACAAAGAUGAAUUAGAAGUGGUGGAAUGUAAUAGAUUGUCCCUGUGCCUGCAAUAAUAAAUUACCCUCACUCUGAGCAGGAAAUGGGCUCAAUCUUUAUCAUUGCCCAGCUCAGAAAUGAAAGGAUGAAGAAUAAAUUAACAGUGGAAAGUGAGGGAGCAUCAGCAGAAGAUUCACAACAUCACCUGGACACUAGAGGUCCAUUGGACUUCAGAUGCUACCAGACCUGCUGAGUUUCUCCUGCAAUUUCUGUUUUCGUUUCAGAUAAAGAAAUAAGACUGAGUUAUCAAGAUGUCAAGAGCUGGAUUACACAUUCACUACAGUUUGGGCAAUUUGUUCUAGCCUCAAAAUUGAAGUAAAUCUGCUUUCACCAGGUUGGGAAUGAAUAUGAAUCCCAGAGGAAUCCUCAAGGAAAAUGAGAAUUAUUAUUCCUCAUUAGGAAGAGAUUUCUCAAACCCAUUGGUGGUGAUUGGCUUGAGCAUUUGAAAAGUAUAUGUACCCAGAAUGAGUUUAAUCUUUUAAGUCUGUUUAAUUAA